rnacentral:lncRNA from 1 species
GUGCCAGAUGGAAAGGUGUUGGUUCUGGUAGAACACCAAGGGUUUGGAGUAGUUUUCUCUGUGAAGAUGACAACGAAACGAAAUUUUUCAAGUUUUUUGCUGACAAAUUGCUUCUUAAGAGACUAAUAAAAAUGUGUAUGUUACUCAUGGUGAAAAUAUUCUUUGCAAUUUCAAUAAGGAUACUUCCUAUCUACCCCUUGUAAUCAUGAAGAAGCAGAUACACGAAUGUUUGUCCAUGUUCGGCAUGAUUAUGAAAAGUGUUGUAAAAUGUAAUUUUAGGUAGUACUGACACAGAUGUAAUAGUAUCAAGAAUUGCAGCAAUCGUAAAACUAGGUAGAACACAUUGUGGAUAGGUUAUGGAAGGAAUAAAGACUUUUGUUGGCUUCCUGUACGUGACAUAUCAAAUGCGUUUGGUCCUUGUGUAGCUGCUCUUCCUUUCGUCCAUGCAUUUAGUGGAUGUGACACUUUGUCGAAUUGUCGUGGGAAAGGGAAGAGGUCAGCUUGGCUAACAAUGGAAGGUUUUUCAGAUAUAAAGGACGUUUUUUUUUUGGCUUAAGUAUGAAGCGAGGCACGAUGUGAAUUGUUUGCCAGGAAGCAGCGGCAUUGUGAUGCAAUUCCGCCUACAAGAGGUUCUUUUCCAGAGCACAUCAAAAGAGAAGUAAAUCAAGGAGGAGUUGUUUGGGCUCAGCCUGAUUCAUGUAUUCGACAGGUACAUGUACCAAGUCAUGAACACUGGGGUUGGAUGAAAGAAAGAAUCAAUGACAGUUGGAAACCGAAAUGGACUUCUGUGACUGCCGUUGCAUCCUCGUGUCAGGAACUUUUGAAAUGCGGAGGCAAAAAUCCAGCUGUGUUGGUAACUGUAAAUGCUACCGUUCUGGCUUUCCUUGUACGGGUUGUUGUAUAGGCAACUGUCAGAUAAUUAUAAGAUAAGCAACCUG